rnacentral:rRNA from 1 species
GAUGAACGCUGGCGGCGUGCCUAAUACAUGCAAGUCGAGCGAACAGUCGAGGAGCUUGCUCCUUUGACGUUAGCGGCGGACGGGUGAGUAACACGUAGGUAACCUACCUAUAAGACUGGGAUAACUUCGGGAAACCGGAGCUAAUACCGGAUAAUAUUUCGAACCGCAUGGUUCGAUAGUGAAAGAUGGCUUUGCUAUCACUUAUAGAUGGACCUGCGCCGUAUUAGCUAGUUGGUAAGGUAACGGCUUACCAAGGCAACGAUACGUAGCCGACCUGAGAGGGUGAUCGGCUACACUGGAACUGAGACACGGUCCAGACUCCUACGGGAGGCAGCAGUAGGGAAUCUUCCGCAAUGGGCGAAAGCCUGACGGAGCAACGCCGCGUGAGUGAUGAAGGUCUUCGGAUCGUAAAACUCUGUUAUUAGGGAAGAACAAACGUGUAAGUAACUGUGCACGUCUUGACGGUACCUAAUCAGAAAGCCACGGCUAACUACGUG